GCCCUGGUGGUGUAAACCAUUAAGCAUUCGGCUGCUAACCAAAAGAUUGGUGGUUCAAAUCCACCCAACAGCA
rnacentral:tRNA from 1 species